CAUGUUUGCCUGACCCAGCUGCCCUGCUGCCCUGGGCCCUUGGCUGAUGGUGACAGAAGCACUCCGCUAACCCGAAGUGACAUGUGCCUGGUGGGGCAUCCAGAAUACACGGA
ensembl:misc_RNA